GGGGCCAUAGCUCAGUUGGGAGAGCGCUUGCAUGGCAUGUAAGAGGUCGGGGGUUCGACUCCCCUUGGCUCCACCA
rnacentral:tRNA from 1 species